CUACUCGGGUAUCUAAUCCUGUUCGCUACCCAUGCUUUCGCUCCUCAGCGUCAGUUACUGCCCAGAGACCUGCCUUCGCCAUCGGUGUUCCUCCUGAUAUCUGCGCAUUUCACCGCUACACCAGGAAUUCCAGUCUCCCCUACAGCACUCAAGUUAUGCCCGUAUCGCCUGCCAUCCCACAGUUAAGCCGUGGACUUACACAAACGACGCGACAAACCACCUACGAGCUCUUUACGCCCAGUAAUUCCGGACAACGCUCGCACCCUACGUAUUACCGCGGCUGCUGGCAC
rnacentral:rRNA from 1 species